GGAUGUGAGGGUGAUCUGGCUGCAACAUGUGUCACCCCAUUGAUUGCCAGGGUUGAUUUGGCUGAUCUGGCUAGCUAGGCGGGUGUCCCCUUCCUCCCUCAUGGUUCCAUAUGCGUCCUUCCCAAAGCUGUGCGCUCGAUUGAAGAGAACUACCAUCCCUGAUAGAAGAGGACCAUUCUUCAAUCAAGGGUAUACAGGUAGCUUUGCUGCCCUGCUAGAACCUCCAAACAAGCUCUGAAGAAUUUCUAGAAAUAAGAAUUCUGAAGAAAUUCAGAAUGCCCUCCUGAAUUGAAUUGGUUGUUAAACCCCGCCCCCCAAUAGCAAUUCUACAUAACCAGUGUUG
rnacentral:snRNA from 1 species